UCAGAAGUCUGUCACUUUUACAGUCUGUGAUAAAACACUUUUUGUACAUGUUGUUGAAACGUUAUGGAUAUUAGAAAGUUUUUCAAAAGACCACUCAGCUCCGUUCAAGCAACAGCAUCGCCCAGUGAACUGACGGAUGGUGUUGUUUCAGUCAUCCUACUUGCAGAAUCGUCCAAGAACAUAGCUGACUGCUCACACCCAACAGAAUUUGCAGACUACUCCAACCUGAUAGAAUUUGUGACACUCGCACCUUGUGAUUUUAUACUACUGCAGCUACAGUAGAUGGUGAAGGGUCUUCCUGCCCAAGUCUUACAGAUACGUUGUCCCUCUCAAGCAGUCUAAGCAGUCCUCAAAGCGAUGCUGGAUCUCAAAUGACUUGGACAUGGACAUCACCCGCGCAAAAAAUGUAAUCUUAUAACUUCCAUACUUUGUUGUGUUGGCCUUUCUUUGUUCUUGUUAGCCUUUCUUCAAAAUUAAUGUCUUAAUUUUGUUGUUAAUUGUUGUUUUGUAUUUUAAGUGAAAACAUCCCUAGAAAGAUACUGGUUCUAGAAAUGGAUAGAUUAAGACAUUUCAAAUCUUUUAAUGCUCAAAUGUCCUAUGGGUGUGAUUGUAUGUUGUGUCAGAGGGUUGUAUUUUUUAAUGUAUCAACAUUGCUGACUUAAUAUAAGCUAUAUGGAAUUCACUCUUGUUCUUAUGUACAUGUUUAUGUACUUAAAUUACAACUUUAAAGUCUACCUCAUGUUAAUACAUUACUGCAUCACAGAAAAGUUCUUUGUUAUCUUGGCAGCAAUGCUUUUAUACAAUGUUUGCACUUUCUGCAUACAGAGAUGUGGUGCUGACAUGAUUUUUUUAAAUAUAUAACUGCUUGUCAAUUAAGCAGUUAGUUUUAAAUAUGAAAUUGGGUCCACACUAAUCACAAUAUGUUUGGUUGGUUGGC